rnacentral:misc_RNA from 1 species
GAUGAAGAACGUAGCGAAAUGCGAUACUUGGUGUGAAUUGCAGAAUCCCGUGAACCAUCGAGUCUUUGAACGCAAGUUGCGCCCGAAGCCAUUAGGCCGAGGGCACGCCUGCCUGGGCGUCACACGUCGUUGCCCCCCCAUCUACUCCUUCGGGAUUGCGGGGGGCGGAUGAUGGCCUCCCGUGCGCCUCGUCGCGCGGUUGGCAUAAAUGCCAAGUCCUCGGCGACGCACGCCACGACAAUCGGUGGUUGCGAAACCUCGGUUGCCCGUCGUGUGCGGUCGUCGCGCAUCGAGGGCUCGAAAAAAUUGCCGGGCUCCGGCUCGGCUUUCAACGCGACCCCAGGUCAGGCGGGGUUACCCGCUGAAUUAAAGCAUAUCAAUAAGCGGAGGA